UGAGGAAUAUUGGUCAAUGGGCGAGAGCCUGAACCAGCCAAGUCGCGUGAGGGAUGACGGCCCUACGGGUUGUAAACCUCUUUUGCCGGGGAGCAAUGCUCCGCACGCGUGCGGAGCUGGAGAGUACCCGGAGAAAAAGCAUCGGCUAACUCCGUGCCAGCAGCCGCGGUAAUACGGAGGAUGCGAGCGUUAUCCGGAUUUAUUGGGUUUAAAGGGUGCGUAGGCGGAACGCCAAGUCAGCGGUAAAAAUUCGGGGCUCAACCCCGUCGUGCCGUUGAAACUGGUGUCCUUGAGUGGGCGAGAAGUAUGCGGAAUGCGUGGUGUAGCGGUGAAAUGCAUAGAUAUCACGCAGAACUCCGAUUGCGAAGGCAGCAUACCGGCGCCCGACUGACGCUGAAGCACGAAAGCGUGGGUAUCGAACAGG
rnacentral:rRNA from 1 species